rnacentral:rRNA from 1 species
UACGGAGGGUGCAAGCGUUAUCCGGAUUUACUGGGUUUAAAGGGUGUGUAGGCGGGCAGGUAAGUCAGUGGUGAAAUCUUCAAGCUUAACUUGGAAACUGCCAUUGAUACUAUUUGUCUUGAAUAUCCUGGAGGUAAGCGGAAUAUGUCAUGUAGCGGUGAAAUGCUUAGAUAUGACAUAGAACACCCAUUGCGAAGGCAGCUUGCUAAGGGAUUAUUGACGCUGAGGCACGAAAGCGUGGGGAUCAAACAGG